AAUAAGUACAGUUUUACACUAUUUACGUUCAACGUUUGACCGUUCGUCUUAUUUGAAAAUUUUUUAUGAUUAAUAUUUUUAUUGCUAUUAGAUGAUAAAACAUGAAUAGUACUUUAUGUGUGACUAAAUAUUUUCAAAUUUUUCACAAAUUUUUCAAAUAAGACGGACGGUCAAACGUUGGGCACGGAUAUCCACGGCUGCACUUAUU
rfam:Oryza sativa Japonica Group DNA, chromosome 2, cultivar: Nipponbare, complete sequence.